rnacentral:rRNA from 1 species
GGGGGUUAAUUUUUGCUCAGAUUGAACGUUGCGGCAGGCCUAACACAGCAAGUUGAACGGUAGCCCAGAGAGCUUGUUUUUGGGUGACGAGUGGCGGACGGGUGAGUAAUGUUGGGAAACUGCUGAUGGAGGGGAUAAAUACUGGAAACGGUAGCUAAUACCGCAUAAAGUCGCAAGACCAAAGAGGGGGACCUUCGGGCCUCUUGCCAUCAGAUGUGCCCAGAUGGGAUUAGGUAGUAGGGGGGGUAACGGCUCACCUAGGCGACGAUCCCUAGCUGGUCUGAGAGGAUGACCAGCCACACUGGAACUGAGACACGGUCCAGACUCUACGGGAGGCAGCAGUGGGGAAUAUUGCACAAUGGGCGCAAGCCUGAUGCAGCCAUGCCGCGUGUAUGAAGAAGGCCUUCGGGUUGUAAAGUACUUUCAGCGGGGAGGAAGGCGUUGUGGUUAAUAACCACAGCGAUUGACGUUACCCGCAGAAGAAGCACCGGCUAACUCCGUGCCAGCAGCCGCGGUAAUACGGAGGGUGCAAGCGUUAAUCGGAAUUACUGGGCGUAAAGCGCACGCAGGCGGUCUGUCAAGUCGGAUGUGAAAUCCCCGGGCUCAACCUGGGAACUGCAUUCGAAACUGGCAGGCUAGAGUCUUGUAGAGGGGGGUAGAAUUCCAGGUGUAGCGGUGAAAUGCGUAGAGAUCUGGAGGAAUACCGGUGGCGAAGGCGGCCCCCUGGACAAAGACUGACGCUCAGGUGCGAAAGCGUGGGGAGCAAACAGGAUUAGAUACCCUGGUAGUCCACGCCGUAAACGAUGUCGACUUGGAGGUUGUGCCCUUGAGGCGUGGCUUCCGGAGCUAACGCGUUAAGUCGACCGCCUGGGGAGUACGGCCGCAAGGUUAAAACUCAAAUGAAUUGACGGGGGCCCGCACAAGCGGUGGAGCAUGUGGUUUAAUUCGAUGCAACGCGAAGAACCUUACCUACUCUUGACAUCCAGAGAACUUUCCAGAGAUGGAUUGGUGCCUUCGGGAA